rnacentral:rRNA from 1 species
GAUGAACGCUAGCGACAGGCUUAACACAUGCAAGUCGAGGGGCAGCGGGGAGUAGCAAUACUCUGCCGGCGACCGGCGCACGGGUGAGUAACGCGUAUGCAACUUACCUAUCAGAGGAGAAUAGCUCAUCGAAAGAUGAAUUAAUGCUCCAUAAAACAGGGGUCCCGCAUGGGAAUAUUUGUUAAAGAUUCAUCGCUGAUAGAUAGGCAUGCGUUCCAUUAGGCAGUUGGCGGGGUAACGGCCCACCAAACCGACGAUGUCUAGGGGUUCUGAGAGGAAGGUCCCCCACACUGGAACUGAGACACGGUCCAG